CUACUACGAGCAGCUCCUGGCGAGAAGGGGCGUGCUCACAGUGGAUCAGAACAUAGCGUCGGACGCGGCGACCAACGCCACGGUGAGGGCGCUGGCCGGCGGCAGCUCGAGCUUCCCGGCUCUGUUCGGGGGUGCCAUGGUGAGGAGGAUGGGCGGCAUCCAGGUGCUCACUGGGACGCAAGGCCAGAUCCGGAAGUCGUGCCGAGUCGUCCUUUGGUUUGGGAGUUCCUUUUGUCAUUUGAACUUUNNNNNNNNNNNNNNNNNNNNUCGGACGCGGCGACCAACGCCACGGUGAGGGCGCUGGCCGGCGGCAGCUCGAGCUUCCCGGCUCUGUUCGGGGGUGCCAUGGUGAGGAGGAUGGGCGGCAUCCAGGUGCUCACUGGGACGCAAGGCCAGAUCCGGAAGUCGUGCCGAGUCGUCCUUUGGUUUGGGAGUUCCUUUUGUCAUUUGAACUUUGGUUGGUUUCUUUGUUUGUUUGUUU
rnacentral:lncRNA from 1 species